UUGGAUGCUAUUCCCCUAGUAUUUGGUUUUAAUGAGUAAGAUUAAUGCAGAUCUAGGGAGUACGAGGUCAAGGAAAAGCUACUAGGGAUUGGUGUUCAAGGUAAGGUUAAGGUGAGGUUUCGAUUUUUGGGUAAAAUAUGUAUUAAGCAUACGAUUAAUUGAAGGGUGAUCUCAUUUGUAGGUUGGUGACUAAGGGAAUCGCAGCACGCUUACUUAGCAGGUGUGUACAUACACUGCACA
rnacentral:lncRNA from 1 species